rnacentral:rRNA from 1 species
UACGGGGGGAGCAAGCGUUGUUCGGAUUUACUGGGCGUAAAGGGCGCGUAGGCGGUCGUGACAAGUCACUUGUGAAAUCUCCGGGCUUAACUCGGAACGGUCAAGUGAUACUGUCGGACUAGAGUACAGAAGGGGCAACUGGAAUUCCUGGUGUAGCGGUGAAAUGCGCAGAUAUCAGGAGGAACACCGGUGGCGAAGGCGGGUCUCUGGGCCUGUACUGACGCUGAGGAACGAAAGCGUGGGGAGCGAACAGG